rnacentral:rRNA from 1 species
GCAACCUGCCCUUUAGACGGGGACAACAUUCCGAAAGGAGUGCUAAUACCGGAUGUGAUCAUCGUGCCGCAUGGCAGGAUGAAGAAAGAUGGCCUCUACAAGUAAGCUAUCGCUAAAGGAUGGGCCUGCGUCUGAUUAGCUAGUUGGUAGUGUAACGGACUACCAAGGCGAUGAUCAGUAGCCGGUCUGAGAGGAUGAACGGCCACAUUGGGACUGAGACACGGCCCAAACUCCUACGGGAGGCAGCAGUGGGGAAUCUUCCGCAAUGGACGAAAGUCUGACGGAGCAACGCCGCGUGAGUGAUGAAGGAUUUCGGUCUGUAAAGCUCUGUUGUUUAUGACGAACGUGCAAUGUGUGAACAAUGCAUUGCAAUGACGGUAGUAAACGAAGAAAGCCACGGGU